rnacentral:rRNA from 1 species
GUAGGUGGCAAGCGUUGUCCGGAAUUAUUGGGCGUAAAGCGCGCGCAGGCGGUCCUUUAAGUCUGAUGUGAAAGCCCACGGGCUCAACCGUGGAGGGUCAUUGGAAACUGGGGGACUUGAGUACAGAAGAGGAAAGCGGAAUUCCAAGUGUAGCGGUGAAAUGCGUAGAGAUUUGGAGGAACACCAGUGGCGAAGGCGGCUUUCUGGUCUGUAACUGACGCUGAGGCGCGAAAGCGUGAGGAGCAAACAGGAUUAGAUACCCUGGUAGUCCACGCCGUAAACGAUGAGUGCUAAGUGUUAGGGGGUUUCCGCCCCUUAGUGCUGCAGCUAACGCAUUAAGCACUCCGCCUGGGGAGUACGGCCGCAAAGGCUG